CGGAGAGGGAGCCUGAGAAACGGCUACCACUUCUAAGGAAGGCAGCAGGCGCGCAAAUUACCCAAUCCUGACUCAGGGAGGUAGUGACAAGAAAUAACAAUAAACCGGCUUAUGCCGGUUUAAUUGGAAUGAGUACAAUUUAAACAUCUUAACGAGGAACAAUUGGAGGGCAAGUCUGGUGCCAGCAGCCGCGGUAAUUCCAGCUCCAAUAGCGUAUACUAAAGUUGUUGCAGUUAAAAAGCUCGUAGUUGGAUUUCUGCGGGGACGGAGCGGCCGGACGCAACUUGCGUCUCGAGCUAGCGCUUUCCCCGCAUCCUGCCGCGAACCGUGCUACCAUUAGCUUGGUGGCGCUGGGGAUCGGCUCGAUUACUUUGAGAAAAAUAGAGUGUUCAAAGCAGGCCACACGCCUUGAAUAAGUUAGCAUGGAAUAAUGACUAAGGACUUUGGUUCUUUUCGUUGGUGUUCGGGACUGAAGUAAUGAUUGAUAGGGACAGUUGGGGCGGUCUGUAUUCCAAAGCGAGAGGUGAAAUUCUUAGACCUUCGGAAGACAAACAGCUGCGAAAGCGUUCCGCAAGGAUGUUCCCUUUGAUCAAGAACGAAAGUUGGGGGAUCGAAGACGAUCAGAUACCGUCGUAGUCUCAACUAUAAACUAUACCAGCUAGGGAUCGGCCAACGUUUAAUUAUUCGACUUGGUCGGCACCUUAUGAGAAAUCAAAGCAUCUGGGUUCCGGGGGGAGUAUGGUCGCAAGGCUGAAACUUAAAGGAAUUGACGGAAGGGCACCACCAGGCGUGGAGCCUGUGGCUUGAUUUGACUCAACACGGGAAAACUUACCAGGUCCAGACAUAGGAAGGAUUGACAGAUUGAUAGCUCUUUCUUGAUUCUGUGGGUGGUGGUGCAUGGCCGUUUUUAGUCGGUGAAGUGAUUUGUCUGCUUAAUUGCGUUAACGGACGAGACCCCAGCCUGCUAAAUAGCGCGGCCGAGCUUUGCUCGGUGCGAGCUUCUUAGAGGGACCAUGAUGCGCGAUAGCACAAGGAAGUUUGGGGCAACAACAGGUCUGUGAUGCCCUUAGAUGUUCUGGGCCGCACACGGGCUACACUGGCGCCUGCAACGAGCAUAUCAGCUGGCCCGAGAGGGUCUUGGCUAAUCUUUGGAACCGGCGCCGUGCUUGGGAUUGACCAUUGCAAUUGUUGGUCAUGCAACGAGGAAUGCCUUGUAAACGCGAGUCAUCAGCUCGCAUUGAAUACGUCCCUGCCCUUUGUACACACCGCCCGUCGCUCCUACCGAUGAAUGUUCCGAUGAAAUUUUCGGAGAGCGCCGGAGAACGGGGCUCUGCCCUGCAGAACUGGAGGCUCAAAGUCACUUAAAUCUGAACAUUUCGAGGGAGGAGAAGUCGUAACAAGGUAACC
rnacentral:rRNA from 1 species